GAUGAACGCUGGCGGCGUGCUUAACACAUGCAAGUCGAACGAGGUCCAACCUUCGGGUGAAGACCUAGAGGCGAACGGGUGAGUAACACGUGGGCAAUCUGCCCUCCACUCUGGGAUAACCCCCGGAAACGGGAGCUAAUACCGGAUACUUCGGAAUGGUCGCAUGGCCGAUCCGAGAAAGCUCCGGCGGUGGAGGAUGAGCCCGCGGCCCAUUAGCUUGGUGGCGGGGGAAUGGCCCACCAAGGCGACGAUGGGUAGCCGAGGUGAGAGGCUGAUCGGCCACACUGGGACUGAGACACGGCCCAGACUCCUACGGGAGGCAGCAGUGGGGAAUCUUGCGCAAUGGGCGAAAGCCUGACGCAGCAACGCCGCGUGCGGGAUGAAGGCUCUCGGGUCGUAAACCGCUUUCAGUAGGGACGAAACUGACUGUACCUACAGAAGAAGCCCCGGCUAAAUACGUGCCAGCCGCCGCAGUAAUAC
rnacentral:rRNA from 1 species